UCCUAUUGCAGAUCUCUGUCUCUGAGAGACUUCCAACUGGGAAUCUUCCACUGAGGCCACACCUCUAGAUUAGGUUAGUGGCCCCUAAUUCACGCUGCUCCAGCAUUCUGCCAUGGGAAACCUCACUCUGCUGCAGGUAAAUCACCCUAUCUCAGUCUAAGAUGUGCAGCUCAAGAUGGUUUCAACAGGAGACAGAGAACACAGUUGUACAAGAGAGGCUCUGGAAGUGAUGGCGGACAGAAGGGCCUCACGAAGAGGAUGCUGCAGAAACGCCCCACAAGACCAGCACAGAGCCUGGCACUUAAAAGAACAUUCAAGAAAUAUUUGUCACAUGAAAGAAUGGAUAAUAUCCCCAAGUCCAUACUAGCAGUAAAUAAAGCAGCAAACUUCACAGAA